GUGGGGAAUUGUUCGCAAUGGGCGCAAGCCUGACGACGCAACGCCGCGUGGAGGAUGAAGGUCUUCGGAUUGUAAACUCCUGUUGACCGGGACGAACUCCUCCGAGGUGAAUAUCCUUGGAGGCUGACGGUACCGGUUGAGGAAGCCCCGGCUAACUCUGUGCCAGCAGCCGCGGUAAUACAGAGGGGGCAAGCGUUGUUCGGAAUUACUGGGCGUAAAGGGCGCGUAGGCGGCCGGCUAAGUCAGACGUGAAAUCCCCAGGCUCAACCUGGGAACUGCGUCUGAUACUGACUGGCUCGAGUCCGGGAGAGGGAAGCGGAAUUCCAGGUGUAGCGGUGAAAUGCGUAGAUAUCUGGAGGAACAUCGGUGGCGAAGGCGGCUUCCUGGACCGGCACUGACGCUGAGGCGCGAAAGCCAGGGGAGCAAACGGGAUUAGAAACCCUUGUAGUCC
rnacentral:rRNA from 1 species